AUUGAACGCUGGCGGCAGGCCUAACACAUGCAAGUCGAGCGAGCGGCGGACGGGCGAGGAAUGUAUGGGGUCUGCCCGAUAGAGGGGGAUAACUACUGGAAACGGUAGCUAAUACCGCAUACUAUCGGAUAACCCAUAUGGGUUUAGCUAGUAGGUGCGGUAAUGGCUCACCUAGGCGACGUUCCCUAGCUGGUCUGAGAGGAUGAUCAGCCACACUGAGACAGAGACACGGCCCGGAUCCCUACGGAGGCAGAGGUGGGGAAUAUGCCACAAUGGGCGUAAGCCAGAUGCAGCCCCGCCGCGAGUAUGAAGAAGGCCUUAUGGGUGUAAAGCACUUUCAGUCGGGAGGCCUCACCGACAGAAGGAGCCCCGGCUACCCCCGUGCCAGCAGCCGCGGUAAUAC
rnacentral:rRNA from 1 species